GCCCGGGUAGCCCAAUUGGUAGGAGGCAGCUGGCUUAGAACCAGCGCAGUGCACGUUCGAAUCGUGUUCCGGGUA
rnacentral:tRNA from 1 species